rnacentral:rRNA from 1 species
GACAGAGGAGCCAAGCGUUGUCCGGAUUGACUGGGCGUAAAGCGCACGCAGGCGGCUGUGCACGUGGGGUGUGAAAGGUGGCGGCUUAACUGCCACACGCCACCUCAUACGGCACGGCUCGAGCCCGUGAGAGGUCCACGGAAUUGCCGGUGUAGUGGUGAAAUGCGUAGAGAUCCGGAGGAACACCAGUGGCGAAGGCGACACGCUGGGCCGUACCUGACACUGAUGCGCGACAGCAUGGGGAGCAAACAGG